UACGUGAGGUGCAAGCGUUGUCCGGAAUUAUUGGGCGUAAAGAGCUCGGUAGGCGCUUGUCGCGUCGGCUGUGAAAACCUGGGGCUCAACCCCGGGCCUGCAGCCGAUACGGGCAAGCUAGAAUUCGGUAGGGGAGACUGGAAUUCCUGGUGUAGCGGUGAAAUGCGCAGAUAUCAGGAGGAACACCGGUGGCGAAGGCGGGUCUCUGGGCAGUAACUGACGCUGAGGAGCGAAAGCGUGGGGAGCGAACAGGG
rnacentral:rRNA from 1 species